CAACAGUCCAACCAGCAAACCAUGAAGUGAAGAACUGAGUUCAGAUUCUCAACUUUCAGUCGACUGUCAGAGAAGGAGGAGCAGCCUGACUGAAGAUGAGUGAUGUGGGUGAAGAGGAGGACAGAGCAGAGUCUGUGGACAGGGAAGAGACGCCAGCUGCUCCUGCAGAGUCCAGAAGCCAAAACCUCAGACACACACAGUCUUCAGGAUCCAGCAGUUUGUCUCUGAGGAGUGAGCGGUCCAAACAUUUUCUACUGAGCUUCAAUAGUGAACUCGGAUCUUCAGACACAAAAGAGAAGAAGAGCAGUGAUGUCUGUGAGGAGCAGCAGGACCAGGGUUCUUCAUCAGGAC